rnacentral:rRNA from 1 species
GGCUUACGACGGUAGUGCAGAUGAUCAUGCUACGCUGCGAGUCAGCAGAAGAUGCUUAUCUGAGUGCAGUCUCUUUGAGGUGACUCGAUAGGUGUCGAGUGAGCGCUAGACAGGCUGACGCUAUCAGCGUAUGGCUACCUGCCCGUAAGACUGGAUACUCGUCGCGAACGCGAGCUAAUAUCGGAUAACACUUGUCAUCUCCUGAUGAGAAGUUGAAGGCGCUUUGCUGUCACUUACAGAUGGACUGCAGCGCAUUAGCUAGUUGGUAAGGUAUGGCUUACCAGGCGACGAUGCGUACGCCGACCUGAGAGGUGAUCCGCCACACUGGACUGAGAAACCGCCCAGAAUCCUCCGGUAGCAGCAGUAGGGAAUCUUCCGCACUGGACGAUAGUCUGAGUGAGCACCGCCGCGU